GGCUAAAUACUCCUGACUGACCGAUAGUGAACCAGUACCGUGAGGGAAAGGCGAAAAGAACCCCGGCGAGGGGAGUGAAAAAGAACCUGAAACCGUGUACGUACAAGCAGUGGGAGCACAGGUUUACCUGUGUGACUGCGUACCUUUUGUAUAAUGGGUCAGCGACUUAUAUUCUGUAGCAAGGUUAACCGAAUAGGGGAGCCGGAGGGAAACCGAGUCUUAAUUGGGCGUUAAGUUGCAGGGUAUAGACCCGAAACCCGGUGAUCUAGCCAUGGGCAGGUUGAAGGUUGGGUAACACUAACUGGAGGACCGAACCGACUAAUGUUGAAAAAUUAGCGGAUGACCUGUGGCUGGGGGUGAAAGGCCAAUCAAACCGGGAGAUAGCUGGUUCUCCCCGAAAGCUAUUUAGGUAGCGCCUCGUGAAUUCAUCUCCGGGGGUAGAGCACUGUUUCGGCUAGGGGGCCAUCCCGGCUUACCAACCCGAUGCAAACUGCGAAUACCGGAGAAUGUUAUCACGGGAGACACACGGCGGGUGCUAACGUCCGUCGUGAAGAGGGAAACAACCCAGACCGCCAGCUAAGGUCCCAAAGUCAUGGUUAAGUGGGAAACGAUGUGGGAAGGCCCAGACAGCCAGGAUGUUGGCUUAGAAGCAGCCAUCAUUUAAAGAAAGCGUAAUAGCUCACUGGUCGAGUCGGCCUGCGCGGAAGAUGUAACGGGGCUAAACCAUGCACCGAAGCUGCGGCAGCGACGCUUAUGCGUUGUUGGGUAGGGGAGCGUUCUGUAAGCCUGUGAAGGUGUGUCGUGAGGCAUGCUGGAGGUAUCAGAAGUGCGAAUGCUGACAUAAGUAACGAUAAAGCGGGUGAAAAGCCCGCUCGCCGGAAGACCAAGGGUUCCUGUCCAACGUUAAUCGGGGCAGGGUGAGUCGACCCCUAAGGCGAGGCCGAAAGGCGUAGUCGAUGGGAAACGGGUUAAUAUUCCCGUACUUGGUGUUACUGCGAAGGGGGGACGGAGAAGGCUAUGUUGGCCGGGCGACGGUUGUCCCGGUUUAAGCGUGUAGGUGUGUGUUCCAGGUAAAUCCGGUUCACUUUAACACUGAGGCGUGAUGACGAGGCACUACGGUGCUGAAGUAACAAAUGCCCUGCUUCCAGGAAAAGCCUCUAAGCAUCAGGUAACAUCAAA
rnacentral:rRNA from 1 species